rnacentral:rRNA from 1 species
UACGAAGGGGGCUAGCGUUGCUCGGAAUUACUGGGCGUAAAGGGCGCGUAGGCGGCUUGCCAAGUCGGGGGUGAAAGCCCGUGGCUCAACCACGGAAUGGCCUUCGAUACUGGCAGGCUUGAGACCGGAAGAGGACAGCGGAACUGCGAGUGUAGAGGUGAAAUUCGUAGAUAUUCGCAAGAACACCAGUGGCGAAGGCGGCUGUCUGGUCCGGUCCUGACGCUGAGGCGCGAAAGCGUGGGGAGCAAACAGG